UACGUAGGGGGCUAGCGUUGUCCGGAUUUAUUGGGCGUAAAGAGCGUGUAGGCGGCCCGGUAAGUCCGCUGUGAAAGUCGGGGGCUCAACCCUCGAAUGCCGGUGGAUACUGUCGGGCUAGAGUGCGGAAGAGGCGAGUGGAAUUCCUGGUGUAGCGGUGAAAUGACGCAGAUAUCAGGAGGAACACCGGUGGCGAAGGCGGGUCUCUGGGCCGUAACUGACGCUGAGGAGCGAAAAGCAUGGGGGAGCGAACAGG
rnacentral:rRNA from 1 species